GGGGUUGUAGCUCAGUGGUAGAGCGUUCGCCUACUAUGUGUGAGGGAGGCACUAGGUUCGAUCCUCAGCACCA
rnacentral:tRNA from 1 species